rnacentral:rRNA from 1 species
CGGUAAUUCCAGCUCCACUGGCGUAUAUUAACGUUGCUGCAGUUAAAGAGCUCGUAGUUGGAUGUGUGGAGGCCGGGAGGCGGCGAGGCCAAGCGUUUCGCAAGCAGACCGGCAGCCAUUAGCCUUUCAAGAUUUGCGGGCAUUGAGUUGUCUGCUGAUUGUCGAGAGGCCAUUUACUGUGAGAAAAGGAGAGUGUUCAAAGCGGGCGAAAGCUGGAAUACAUUAGCGUGGGAUGAUGAGAUAGAACAGAGGUUUUAUUUCGUUGGUUUAUGAGCCUUUGUGAUGAUAUAGAGGGGCAGUUGGGGGUAUUCAUACUUGCCAGUCAGAGGUGAAAUUCUUGGAUUUGGCAAAGAUGGACUGGUGCGAAAGCAUUUACCAAGGAUGUUCUCGCUAAUCAAGAACGAAAGUUAGGGGAUCGAAGAGGAUUAGAUACCCUCGUAGUCCUAACCGUAAACGAUGCCGACUCGGGAUUGGGCACUGUUGUUUGAGACGUGCUCAGGACCGUUCGAGAAAUCAAAGUCUUUGGGUUCCGGGGGGAGUAUGGUCGCAAGGCUGAAACUUAAAGGAAUUGACGGAAGGGCACCACCAGGAGUGGAGCCUGCGGCUUAAUUUGACUCAACACGGGGAAACUUACCAGGUCCGGACAUGAGAAGGAUUGACAGAUUGAGAGUUCUUUCUUGAUUUCAUGGGUGGUGGUGCAUGGCCGUUCUUAGUUGGUGGAGCGAUUUGUCUGGUUAAUUCCGUUAACGAACGAGACCUCCGCCUGCUAAAUAGGUGCUGCAAUUCUGAGAUUGUAGCAGCUUCUUAGAGGGACUUUGGGCGUUUAGCCCGAGGAAGUUGGAGGCAAUAACAGGUCUGUGAUGCCCUUAGAUGUCCUGGGCUGCACGCGCGCUACACUGAUGCGUUCAGAGAGCGAUCCUUGGCUGACAAGUCACGGGAAAUCUCGAAAGCGUAUCGUGAUGGGGAUAGAUGAUUGGAAUUAUUCAUCUUGAACGAGGAAUUCCUAGUAAACGCGAGUCAUCUGCUCGCAUUGAUUACGUCCCUGCUCCUUGU